GACGAACCGUGCAAACGUUAUUCGGAAUCACUGGGCAUAAAGGGCGCGUAGGCGGCUUGACAAGUCAGGGGUGAAAGCCGGCAGCUUAACUGUCGCAGUGCCUUUGAUACUGUCAAGCUCGAGGGAGGUAGGGGUCUGUGGAACUUCCGGUGGAGCGGUGAAAUGCGUUGAUAUCGGAAGGAACGCCGGUGGCGAAAGCGACGGACUGGAUCUCUUCUGACGCUGAGGCGCGAAAGCUAGGGGAGCAAACGGG
rnacentral:rRNA from 1 species